UGGCCUAAAAUUUCCAUUUAGAAAAGUAACACUUAACAUAACGUGCUAAAUAUAUGGAACAAAGACAGAAACAUACGCUCUCCUAUUUCUUAUUGAAAUUGCGUUUUGAUAAGCGAUUUUUCUAAAUCACUUUUAAGAAGUGUUUUUAUUUUCAUUCCAAGAUCACUUGUUUCCAAACGCCAUUCUAUAUUUUCUCGUGAAACUAUGCUAAUAAAACUCUAACAACUUGAUUCACAAACGAAAGAUUACCGGUGAAACCGAAUGUUGUUGUGGCGUAAUUCCGGCCGGGGAAGCGUGUCCGGCGGCAUGCUCGGUUGGUAGAAGAACGGUGGUCAAGACGGAGAGACGCGCGGAUCUUGGCGUGGUGGACUCACAGUAGCAGCAUUUCCGGUUGUUCUUGCGUGUUUUGGUGAGUUCUCCUUUUCUUGCGAGUUUUCCUCUUCUUCACUUCUGUACGAUUCUAUGUUGCAGAAUUGCUGUUGUGUUGGUAUUAUUGUUGAUUGAUACUUUGUUCUUGCUAUUUGCUUUCAAUGUAAAGUUUUUCACCUUGCACACAAGGUGUUUGAUGAAAAGUCUCAACCAAAUUCUUUCACUUUUUUUCUGUUUCAGUUUGGCUUUUGCUUUUGUUUUCUCAUAUUCAUAUCAGUUUCAUUUGGAAUGAGAUUUGAUACAGUAUCGUGUGGAUUUCUGAAAUUAGAUGAUUUUAAGUUAGAUUGAGUAUAAACUUAGGUGAUUUUUGUAAACAAGGUGUUUGUUGAAAUGCCACAAUGAAUUUACUCAUGUUGAUUUUAAAUAUGCCACUUACAUAUUGGUAAAUUAAUAAAAUUUUAGACUGACCCUUAUGUGUUAAAAUUUACCUCAGUUUUUAUUAGGCGGAUCUUCAUGUUUCCUCUUAGUAGACUGCCAAUGCUAAGCUCUCACAUAAUGUUGUUUAUUAGUGCUUUCCCAAGUGUCAUAUGUACUAAUCCACAAGUUCCUUGCUAUGGUUACUGAUAUAUCAGGUAUGAACCUAUCCCAGUAUCAUCAAUAUCAGGGUCUGGAACUGGAGAGCUUCUUGACCUUUUUUUUAUCACCAACUAAUAAUAAGUUAAAUUAUGUGUUUUAGACUUAAAUCAUCUCUGUUUUACUUUUAUGACUUAUUGUUGUUUCUCUGAACUUUUAAAAGCUGAGAACCAAAUUAAAUUGAAGACCUAUCUAGAAGUUAAUAUGGCUUUGAAUCCAUAUGUGGAAUCUAUUUCCCUUCAAACUUAUAUUUUUCUUAUUUUUCUUCUUCAUACAAGUAGCUGUUUUACAAAAGAUUGUAAUGGGUUGUUUGCUUAUUUCCCUUCAUGGACAAGUCCUAAACUAGUAGGGUAUUUGGAGUCAUUGUCAUUCACCUUGUUUCGAACUCGGAAGGGGUCACGAUCCCGUGUUUCGAAUCUAUGUCAUAGUGCCUACCAAAUUUCUUAUCUCAAUCAUAUAGGAGCUGCAGAAUGAAUUGAGAGGUGUAGCUCUAAGUGUGUUCACAUCAAAGAUUGACCAUAGGGAACAACAGAUUUGGUACAAUAUUCAUUUUGUUAUCGAAUUCCAAACAAACUGGUGACAGGAAAUAAUCUACAGCUUCAUAGUUUUAGUUAUGAGUAAUUAAGGUGUAUUUUUAUUAUUUUUGUAUACUUUGAGUUUAUAUCAAUAACUAUGUUAAUUAUCUAACUACAUUGUUAAUAUAGAAUUUCAUAUGUAAAUGAAAUAGAGAAAACAAAUAUAGUUUCAUCAAUUUUAUGAUUUUAUGAUUCCUUGAUAAAAUAAGACAAGUUUGAAACUUAAUCCGUGUUUUGGAUAAAAUGAGUCAUUUAAGUGUUUAUAACUUAAUCAUUUAUAAUGAGUUUAUGUAUAAUUUAUUUCCCCAAUAAUGUAUAGACAAUAAUUCUUGCAAAGGUUUUACAGUUAUAAAGGUUCGAUAAUCAAUCUUUGCAAAUUUUUAAUAUGCAUCAGAACCAAAUAAAAUUACCAGUUACUCUCUAUCAGCAUAACAGUCAUUUUGUCUAUCUAAGCUCUAUCCAACAAUAAAAUUGGAGUCUAUGCAAAUUAGUCAUUCUAUAUUAAUUACAUUAGUUUCAAUGUUGUUAACUAAUUACUAUUAUCUCUAUUAUGAUAUGGUAAAUUAAUUAUAUUAUAGAUAUUACGAUAUGGUAAAUUAAUUAUAUUAUAUAUUGAAAUCCCAUACGAGGAUUGCAUGUUUUUCUUAUCUACAUCAGGUAUAUUUUCAAUGGCUAAUGAUUAUUAGAUUCAAUAAUUUUAACUAAUCAUAUACUUUGUCAGCUUCAACACAAUUUUUAGCUUCUUCGAUCAUUCUAUGAGGUAUCUGAUCCAAAACCUCUUUUUUCGGAUUAACCCCGGUGAUUCUUAAAUGCGGAGGUGCAAUCCACUGAGCAGGAAAGCAAUCACUAACGCCAGAAAGCAACGAGACCAUACGAAGUUUAUUCUAGUUUUCAUGGUACAUUUAUAUAAUGGUUGGUUAUUGUGUGUAGGUAAAGGCUCGAUCUUUGCCUCUUGAUAAGCACACCUUAGUUGCUCAUUUGAGGAAGGAAUUUAAUGAAGUUGUGGCAGUAAGAGGUGAUGGGACCAAUGGAGCUCCAGCUUUUCAUGAAGCUGAUAUUGGAUUUGCAUGCUGAUCCUGAAACUGACGAAGUCUAUACACAUGACUCUUCAACCGGUAACCAAAUAUGACUAGGAGGCAAUACUGGCAUCAGACUUUGGCCUUAAACAAAACCGUCAACCGACCAAAUUCUUUUGCAAGACUCUAACAGCUAGUGACACAAGCACUCACGGUGGAUUUUCUGUUCCUCGUAGAGCAGCUGAGAAAAUAUUCCCACCUUUGGAUUUUUCAAUGCAACCUCCCGCUCACAAUUCGUGGUUUCUUCAUCAGUGAUAUCCAGCGACAGUAUGCAUAUUAGCAUUUUAGGUUUGUGGCGCGAAUAGACAGCAGCCCGCGCUUUCUGCAUCAGUGAUAUCCAGCCUUUUACUAUUUAUCACAAUCCAAGAUUGGAUGGGAUGAAUCGACAGCUCGUGAGCGCCCAAGCAGAGUCCAUACUUUAAAUGCUUCGUUACAAAGACAAGAACAAGAUUUGUUGGGUCUUCUUCUCAUCCACCACAAAUGAAGAUGGCGUAAAUGAAUCAGAUGAAGAAGACCUUAGUAGUAAUUUUGAUUUCUAAUUUUUUUCUUUUUGACUUGGUUGUAAUUUGGAUUGUCUUGUUAACUUAGUUGACAAAUGAUUAGUAAUAGUUUGGUUUUUGAGUCGUUUUUAAUAAUGUGAUUAUGUAAAUACUCGUUACUAACUUUGUUGUAAAAUUUAUAGUAACUUGUUCUAUGAAUUUGAAUUUAUCUUAUUUAA